UAAUGCAGUGAAAUGAGCCACAAUCUGCAAAAAACCAUAAAGGAACAACCGUUCUUGGUAAUUCAUAUAAACAAACAAGACAGAGCCAUUCAUUCACAAUCCUGAACAUUAAUAUUCAUGGUUCAUUCUCACUAACUUCAUAUCUUAAAGAGUAACACAAUUUGGAUUUAACCAAUUGUAAAUCAAAUUCUCCAUAAAACUCUAAUCCUAAGAUCUUGAUUCUUUCAUAGGUCUUGGAUCUAAAUCAGAUUUCAUUUUGGCUACUAGAAAACGAAAGUGAUAAGAGGAAGAGAGACUUACGGGACAAUUCUGAUUCUUGGCUUGACUCACAUAGAAAUUCCAUGACUCUGCAGAAUCG